CAUAAUAAACAGAUCUUUGCCAAACGGGCUGAAGAGCACGAAAGAUUCAUCAACAAGGUUGCACUGAUUGGGAGCUUUUUGGGUUGAUAGGUGACUUAUUUGUUGAGUGUUCUUGGGUUUGGAACAUUCUGCUUUCUGUUGGGUGCCAGGCCUCAAGAUGUCCCUUAUGCAUAUUGUUUGCUCUCU